rfam:Brachypodium distachyon strain Bd21 chromosome 4, whole genome shotgun sequence.
CUAGUAUUCCUCCGUCCAACAAAGGAUGUCUCAACUUUGACUAAAUUUGAAUUCAUCUAUACAAUAAGUCGUUUAUAGAUACAUCUAAAUUUUGAUAAACUUUAGACAUCUUUUGUUGGACGGAGGGAGUAUAAC